rnacentral:rRNA from 1 species
GAUGAACGCUAGCGGCAGGCUUAAUACAUGCAAGUCGAGGGGCAGCAUGAAUGUAGCAAUACAUUUGAUGGCGACCGGCAAACGGGUGCGGAACACGUACACAACCUUCCUAUAAGUGGGGAAUAGCCCAGAGAAAUUUGGAUUAGUACCCCGUAACAUAAUGAUGUGGCAUCACAUUAUUAUUAUAGCUACGGCGCUUAUUGAUGGGUGUGCGGCUGAUUAGAUAGUUGGCGGGGUAACGGCCCACCAAGUCUACGAUCAGUAGCUGAUGUGAGAGCAUGAUCAGCCAAACGGGCACUGAGACACGGGCCCGACUCCUACGGGAGGCAGCAGUAAGGAAUAUUGGUCAAUGGACGCAAGUCUGAACCAGCCAUGCCGCGUGAAGGAUUAAGGUCCUCUGGAUUGUAAACUUCUUUUAUCUGGGACGAAAAAAGGCGAUUCUUCGUCACUUGACGGUACCAGAUGAAUAAGCACCGGCUAACUCCGUGCCAGCAGCCGCGGUAACAC